rfam:Myotis lucifugus cont2.8007, whole genome shotgun sequence.
AGGCCUGAAGAGAGAAGCAGGGUCUGAUCCAUAGCCUCUGUGGCAGCUAUUGAUCAGCAUUUGCCUCUCUCUUUAGCCCCG